rnacentral:rRNA from 1 species
AUGCAAAGUAAGCAUGUGAGUGUUAAUUACCUGUCGCUUACCCGAAUUCGGAGCUCUCCAGGAGCGUUCGCAGAUCUUCCUUGCAGCGUGUCCGAUGCUGCCGCAUUCUACCAGGCCAAGGAGGGGAGCUCGACGGAGAAGGUCUUCUGGUCUCAGUAUGCUGAGGCCGAACAUCCGGUGCCCCUUAGCGACCAGCUGAAGCAGCUAGUCGAGCUCCACAAGGCGGCCGAACAGACCAUGAAGGGCCUCAUAGUUCGGCUGUGGCCUAAGGAGGCCAUGCCUGGGAGCUACUUUGGCCUGGUGCAGCGGCUGGUGGAUGCGUGCCCGUGGGUUGAAGUCAUCAAGCACUCCGCCUGUAUUGAAGGUGCCCAUCGGGCCCUUGCCCGCGCAAAGGUGCACUGGGGCAGGAUGGAUGCCCAGAAGCUUGUGACGGACCCACCACUAGAGGGAAAGGAGUAUCGUACGCCCGAUAUGUAUUAUAAGAGUGUGCUGAAGGGCGCCCGCACUAUUGCGGGUGAGUGCUCCAAAGAUGUAAUAUUUGAGUAG